CAGCCGCCGCGGUAAUGCGUAGGGGGCAAGCGUUAUCCGGAAUUACUGGGUGUAAAGGGAGCGUAGACGGUUAAACAAGUCUGAAGUGAAAUGCCGGGGCUCAACCCCGGAGCUGCUUUGGGAACUGUAGAACUGGAGUGUCGGAGGGGUAAGCGGAAUUCCCAGUGUAGCGGUGAAAUGCGUAGAUAUUGGGAGGAACACCGGCGGCGAAGGCGGCUUACUGGACGACAACUGACGUUGAGGCUCGAAGGCGUGGGUAGCAAACAGGAUUAGAUACCCGCGUAGUCCCUGUCUCUUAUAC
rnacentral:rRNA from 1 species